rnacentral:tRNA from 1 species
GGAGAGGUAGCGAAGCGGCCGUAACGCGCCCGACUCGAAAUCGGGUUACCGGUUAGUCCCGGUACGUGGGUUCGAAUCCCACCCUCUCCGCCA